GGAUGACACAGUAGGAUAAGCUAAGCACACUGUUGGUUAUGUGUGCCCAAGCAUUGAGGCAGUCAAAGUAGGCAAAUCCGCUUUGAUAAUGCUGGGAUGUGAUGGGGAGCGAAAUUUAGUAGCGAAGUAGCUGAUUUCACACUGUCAAGAAAAGUCUCUAUCGAGGUUAAAGGUACCCGUACCGCAAACCGACACAGGUGGGUGAGGAGAGUAUCCUAAGGCCAGCGAGAGAACUGUUGUUAAGGAACUCGGCAAAAUGACCCCGUAACUUAGGGAUAAGGGGUGCCACCAUCAGGUGGCCGCAGAGAAUAGGCCCAAGCGACUGUUUACCAAAAACAUAGGUUUCUGCUAAGUCGCAAGACGAUGUAUAGGAGCUGACGCCUGCCCGGUGCUGGAAGGUUAAGGGGAUCUGUUAGAGCAAUCGAAGCAGUGAACUUAAGCCCCAGUAAACGGCGGCCGUAACUAUAACGGUCCUAAGGUAGCGAAAUUCCUUGUCGGGUAAGUUCCGACCCGCACGAAAGGCGUAACGAUUUGGGCACUGUCUCAACAACAGACUCGGUGAAAUUGUAAUUCCGGUGAAGAUGCCGGAUACCUGCGACAGGACGGAAAGACCCCAUGGAGCUUUACUGUAGCUUGACAUUGGGUCUUGGUACUACAUGUACAGGAUAGGUGGGAGGCUUUGAAACCAGGACGCCAGUUUUGGCGGAGCCAUCCUUGGGAUACCACCCUUGUAGUACUGGGACUCUAACCAUAGGCCAUGAAUCUGGUCUUGGGACACUGUCAGGUGGGCAGUUUGACUGGGGCGGUCGCCUCCCAAAAGGUAACGGAGGCGCUCAAAGGUUCUCUCAGUACGGUCGGAAAUCGUACGUAGAGUGUAAAGGCAAAAGAGAGCUUGAUUGCAAGACAUACAGGUCGAGCAAGGAUGAAAAUCGGACUUAGUGAUCCGGUGGUUCUGCGUGGAAGGGCCAUCGCUCAACGGAUAAAAGCUACCCUGGGGAUAACAGGCUUAUCUCCCCCAAGAGUCCACAUCGACGGGGAGGUUUGGCACCUCGAUGUCGGCUCAUCAC
rnacentral:rRNA from 1 species